CUGGGGAGUACGGCCGCAAGGCUGAAACUCAAA
rnacentral:rRNA from 1 species